ACUGUAAACAUGUCUGUACUGAGAACCUGCCGUUGUUCCACUUCCUAAACAAAUCAGUCGCCUGCAAACAGUGAGCAUCUGAAGCCAAGUCAAGAUGACAAGCCCAAACCGAGACAUCCCCAUCCACAGCUGGCCAGGCUCCUACUACAUCAAUAGCGAGAAGCGCUGGGAGGCCGGGACCCUGUCCCUGACCCGCACCAUAUUGCGCUUCACCUCAGACCAGAGCAAAGAGAACCUGGUUGGCUUCCGCCUCACCAGGAUCAUGGAGAUCAAGAUGGAGUCGUCCAGCUUCAUCUUCAGCACUCUGACUGUGUUGGAACAGGGGAAUCUCAAGCACUGGUUCGGCUCACUGAGGCCCAACCGGUUGGUGGUCUACAAUGUCCUGGAGCAUUUCUGGAAGGAGAGGUUGUUGUCCCCCUCUACUGAGGUCCAGGGGGCCGAGGCACAGCCCACCAAGGGGAGGGAGCUGAUUAACCUGGUGGCAGGGGCUCAAAGACGGCUAGAGGACACAGGGAAUGUCCUCCACCACCAGGGAGAGCAGUUUGAUAACGUCAUGCAGGGCCUGGACAAGAUCGACUCUGAUCUGGGCGUGGCAGACAAGCUACUGUCUGAACUGCAGUCUCCCCCUUGGUGGCCUUUUGGCAAAUUACCCUGGAAGAGUCAGCAAGAUGCCAAUGCUAAGUAUGCUGCCAGAGAGGCCACUUGUAAGGGAACAGCAACAGGCAAGCACAGAGUGAUCACCAGCAUACCAGCCAUCGUUUCCAGAGGUGGAGACUCGGACCUGAAGCCUGGCUGCUUGAUGGUGAUGGUCUCCUCUUUAGAAGUCCGAGACACAAACUAUGUGCUCCUCCACCGCUUUGAGAGGGACGAGGUGGAUGACAUCCGGGUGCACAACCCUUAUGAGAUCAGUGUGAGGCAGAGGUUCAUAGGGAAGCCAGACAUAUGCUUCAGACUCCUGUCGGCUAAAAUGCCGGAGGCCAUGUCUAUGCUAGAGAUGCAGUAUAAGAAGAAGGUAGAGUACACGAGUGAGUACUCUGCCUUUAAGACGACCCCAGCCACAACCCCAGGUGACCAGAAUCAACGUUUAAUAUGGAAUGCAGCAGGCUUGCAGCAGUACCAGGAGACAGAGGUCCCCAGUACGGUCCCAGGAGGAGAGCUUUCCCAGGUGCAUCUACAUGUCCUUAAGCCAGAGGUUACUCAGGCUGAGGUUCAGGAGCUCCGACAGAUGCUAAUGCAGCUGAAAAAUCUUGCUCUGGAGGCUGAGACUGAGCUGGAGAGGCAAGACGAGGGCCUGGAUGUUCUGACCACCUCUACGGACCAGGCCACCAUGCACAUAGACAAACACACCUGCCGCAUGAAAAGGCUGCUGUAACUAACUCACUUACAACGCAAUGCAGAAAUGCACCGAGUUGCUAUUGCCUUACGACAAAUGUAUUCUGUUAGAAAGUUGUUGUACUGUACCUCUAUAUUUGAGGUUCCAUAACCUUGAAACCAGAUUUUACCAUCUGCUUCGUUGUAUCACAUAAAGUUAAGUCUUAGCCUCAGGUGUAGUCAUACACCCUUACCUCAUUAUAACGUGUAAAAUAUAGUAGAAAUCGAUGUUCCUCUCAAUGUGGUAAUUACUGACCAGUCCACUAGAUAUUAUUUACACCAAGGUGAGGAAGCGUUCACUCAUCAGCACUUUGUGGAGAUAUCGUCCUCUUUGCACUGACAAACUAUGAAUAUAUCCAAACUUGGUUGUUGUUGACGGGAGGUUGGACAGACAUAAUGGUCUCUGUCACACAUGUAAUCCAUGGUUUCUGAUGUUGUACUUAAAACACAGUGAGGAGCGAUUGUCACACGUGUUUUUUCCUUCUUCUUUUUCAGUUGCAGGUGUCAGUAAAGCCAUCCCCCUCCCUCCAUGCACAUGGUUUCCCUCCAGCUCCAAGUGUUGCAUGUUCCCAUGUUUCUGCUGAGUAAAGCGAUGCAUCGAGUGGGAUCAGUAGAACUGUGAGACGGAGGUGCACUUUGUUGGAUUUCCGUUUCUCUUUAUUCAGAGAGUGACUCUCAUCUCUGCUAGAGGGAGUUAACUGCGAGUCGCCCCGGCCAAAGUAAACUCCAACCAUGGUCUGGUCUUUCUGAAGCAACUCGAAUGAAGGUCUACUACUCCAUAAGCAUUGGUGUGUGAACAGCACCGGCCUACUGUAUUGAACAGCUGAAACAAUUGUGUGAUCACAAUUUAAACUUAAAUUGACUUGUAUGUAGUGACAGGUAGGUUUUAGCUGAAAAGUAAAUCAAUGUGGGAUUGUUACCCAUUAUUUAAUAUUUACACAGUAAACAUCUUAAAAUAUACAAGAUUCUAAUUGUUCUCAAGGAGCAGUGCCACUGUUCAUGAUUAAAUAUAGGGAAAUUUAAUCAUUGUUGUUGAAGGACUGAUAAUGGGUAAAUUUCCUUUGAGAUAGUAUCCUAAUGAGUGGUGUCUCAGUUAUGUAUGAUCAUGACACUUGUUGGCUGUAGAUUCAGAAGAGGGCAGCAGUGAGUUGCUUAUUCAAUGGAAUGUUGGGCUGCAGUUAAUUGAUAGACAAUUAUUAGACCUCGUGAAGUUUCAGUACUUGGGCCUGGUCUCUUAUUUCUAUUGAAGCUGUAUGUAAAGUUUUCACUAUUUUGUUGUGAUCGAUUUGUGUAACUUUACAUUCUAGAUAUGUUAACCGAUGCUUCACUCUGAACUAGAUUUGUCAAUGGGCUUCUAAUUGAGCAACCCUCAUAUUGUAAGCUAAAAAAUCAACCCACAAUUUGACAGUCACGGUUCUUUCUCUAUCUCAUUCCAAUUUUGGGUUCCUUAUUUUCCUCUUCGUAAUGAUAUAUAUAUAUUUUUUUAAAUCUGCCCCAUCUUCAUUUCUACUCUUUCAUAUUAUGGAACAGUUACAGGGAAUUGGAAACCAUUUCCCAAAUAAACAUGUUCUUGUUUUCUUUCUGAAACCUACCCUAAAAACGCCUCACACUUCUCUUGUGUCUGCUGAAUGAAAACACAAUGGUCAGGAGUGUAGCCUACCUUUGGCAAAGAGUUAGGAGCUAGGGACGGGGUCUUUUUGUGAUGACUGGAUUAUGUAUUCAUUAAAAUCACAUCUAUACUGCUCCCCAAACAGGUUGUCAGGCUGGGAGCCAGCUCACACCGCAUCAGUACUUUUACGAGUGGGCCCCCCAGAAACUUUCAGCGAGACUGUUUUUAGUGGCUCUUGAUGCAAAUGGAAACACUUAGCUCCCACAAUAAAUGACCCUGCAGCCAGAGAUGGUGAUGCCCUGCCGCUCUGCCCGGUCAGAGAGAUACUUGCACACGUAGCGGCAGAAGUGUUUGGAUUGAGCAAAAGUAGCAGUUAUGGAUAGUGGAAUGAUGAUGGCAGACAGUGAAUGGACAUAAACAAGAAAAAGGAAUGGGGUUGUUGUACUAGGGUGUAGUGUCCUCUGGUGAAGAGUGAUAAAGGCAGGAGAUAUCAUAGCCCCCCCCCCCCCCGGGGUUGAGAUUGGGUUCGUGUCAGGAUAGUCGAGUGUCUUGCUCUUCAUUUUUUGGAGGGAAAUAGAUAAACAACCAUUAGUGUUGUUGGAGUUCAGUGCUCUCCAGAGUAAUAAUCCCAUCUCACCAAAGUACUACUAUUCAAUAUAGCUAUUAUUCUGAAAAUGCUUUGUAUGAUUAAUAGAUACAUUAUAAAAGCUCUAUAGGCUAUUGUCAAAUCAAGUAGCACUUUCUCGGCCAAUCAUUGACAUACUCUCUUUCUACCAGACUCGGAUGUGGUCAAGUUCAAACAUUACAACAACACACUUACAGGUACUUUACUUAAACUGCUGUAUUAGAAGUCCAGGUGCAUAAGGAAUAGUUGCAAAAUGGUGUGUUGCCUUUGCCUAAGAACACCUACCCAAAUAAAUAAUCCAAAUUAUUAUGCCUGCUGGUUCUAACUUGUUUGACCGCCUAAUGAUGUAAUUGCAGCUGACCAAACUGAUUGUUGU